rnacentral:tRNA from 1 species
GCGAGAGUGGCGAAAUUGGUAGACGCGCAGGAUUUAGGUUCCUGUGACUUCGGUCUUGCGGGUUCGAUUCCCGUCUCUCGCACCC